CCCUUCCUCAACUAUUUCUCCUCUUUCAUGGUGGCUCCCUCUACCUCAGUCCAUUCCCCCACCUUCUUUUCUUCCUCCUCAUCCUCCUCCUUCAAGCUACCCAUAAACUAUCCCUCUCCAAACAGCCCCUUCCACCUCUGCUCAUUCUCAUCAGCAACCCAUCCUUACCCCUCUUCUUCCUCCCGAUCCUUUUCUUCUCCUUAUCGUCCUUCUCCUCCAAUCUAUUCUUUGCCAGUGGCCACUCUCCCCUCCUCCUCUUCCUUCUUAUUUUUUUUUCUCCUCAUUCUAUUCCUCCUUCAAGUCUACCCAUGAGCCCUAUCCCUCUACAAUGGUCUCUUUUACAUCCGUCUCUUCUUAACGACAACCCAUCCUUCUCCCUCCUCUUCCUCCUCAUCUAUUUCUCCUCUAUUUCUUCUCCUCCAUUGUAACUCCCUCCACCUCCACACAUUCCUCCACCUCCCUCUUUCCUCUAUAUUCAUUUCUCCUGCUCUUCCUCCAAGCCAUCUCCAUCCAUAACAGCUCCUUCUACCUCCACCUAUUAUCGUCGGUAACCUAUCCUUUCUCUCCUUCCCCCCACCAUUUUUUCUUUUUUAUCCUCCUCCUCCAACCCAUUUCUUGCUGCCAGCCUCUCUUUCCUCCUCCCUUUCUCCUCAUUCAUUUCUCCUUCUCAUCCUCUUUCUUUUCUAAGUCCAUUCAUGAGCAAGAAACAUUUUCAUUUAUUGAGAGAAAAAACUAAAAUUAUUUAUUGCUAAGUGAACGAUUGGACUAUUGAAAUAUAUCAAUAAUCAGAAGGACUAGUUUGAUAUUUUUUUAAAAUACAGUAAAAAUAAAUAAAAAGCAUAUUUUUCCGAUGUUCUUAGAUCAAUCCUAACUGCUUCCAAUUAUUUGUUGUCCACCUUUUUAGAAUAUACAU
rnacentral:lncRNA from 1 species